CCUACGGGUGGCUGCAGUGGGGAAUAUUGGACAAUGGGGGGAACCCUGAUCCAGCCAUGCCGCGUGUGUGAAGAAGGCCCUCGGGUUGUAAAGCACUUUCAGUGAGGAAGAACGCCUGGUGGUUAAUACCCAUCAGGAAAGACAUCACUCACAGAAGAAGCACCGGCUAACUCCGUGCCAGCAGCCGCGGUAAUACGGAGGGUGCGAGCGUUAAUCGGAAUUACUGGGCGUAAAGCGCGCGUAGGUGGCUUGAUAAGCCGGUUGUGAAAGCCCCGGGCUCAACCUGGGAACGGCAUCCGGAACUGUCAAGCUAGAGGGCAGGAGAGGAAGGUAGAAUUCCCGUUGUAGCGGUGAAAUGCGUAGAGAUCGGGAGGAAUAGCAGUGGCGAAGGCGGCCUUCUGGACUGACACUGACACUGAGGUGCGAAAGCGUGGGUAGCAAACAGGAUUAGAUACCCUUGUAGUC
rnacentral:rRNA from 1 species